ensembl:lncRNA
GCAGCUCAUUCGGCUCCAGCCAGACAGGAGUGAUACCGGACCACAAGCGCUUCACGAGGAGACCGACAUGGAUCUUUUAAAUCCCUAUCCUCAGUCUCUCCCUGCAAUGAAGGUUACAAAGAAAAGAUGAGUCACCGGAUCCUGAGGAUCAUUCCGCACUGCUGUCAUGUUCAGUGAACCCCGGUGAUUCACUCACGUCCCUCCUGCGGGUUUCACCCAUUCACUGAUGCUGCAGCCCUUCAACCCGCAUCACUGCUCACGAAACAUCACAGCAGGUAUACAGGGAAACCCUGCUUCAUCUGUACCAAGAAGAGAAGCAGAAAUGGACAGAAAAUGGGCCGUGUUACAUCAGAAGGCAAGAUGAUGUCAUUCCAUCGUUUUUUCUCCGAAUGUUUAAAUCCACAGAGUCCACACAGUCGGUGGAUGAUGUCUGGUUCAUCAAAGAUGCUCAUAUGAAACUGAUGGCAAUGCUUUGCAUUUGAGGACUGAUAUAAACAUCAAAUAAUUGGGACUGAAACAGGAAUCUGAAGUGAAGUCACAUUGAGAGAAAGUAAAUAAACAUUUUGUGUGUCAUAUUUCA